AAUUGUGGUCGAAUGCAAA
rnacentral:snRNA from 1 species